rnacentral:rRNA from 1 species
GACGAACGCUGGCGGCGUGCUUAGCACAUGCAAGUCGAACGGAAAGGCCCUGCUUUUGUGGGGUGCUCGAGUGGCGAACGGGUGAGUAACACGUGAGUAACCUGCCCUUGACUUUGGGAUAACUUCAGGAAACUGGGGCUAAUACCGGAUAGGAGCUCCUGCUGCAUGGUGGGGGUUGGAAAGUUUCGGCGGUUGGGGAUGGACUCGCGGCUUAUCAGCUUGUUGGUGGGGUAGUGGCUUACCAAGGCUUUGACGGGUAGCCGGCCUGAGAGGGUGACCGGCCACAUUGGGACUGAGAUACGGCCCAGACUCCUACGGGAGGCAGCAGUGGUGAAUAUUGCACAAUGGGCGGAAGCCGGAUGCAGCAACGCCGCGUGCGGGAUGACGGCCUUCGGGCUGUAAACCGCUUUCGCCUGUGACGAAGCGUGAGUGACGGUAAUGGGUAAAGAAGCACCGGCUAACUACGUG